UGGUGCUGGUAGGGAAUCCUGUUUCUAUGUCAUAGCUGGCACACCCGAACACAGCGAGGGGAAGAUUAGACCAGGCUACAGUGAACACAGCAAGUUGAAGACAAGUGAGAUGCUGUGAUCCGUGCCUGCUUUCCUACCAGGGAGAAUCAUCUCAGGAGCUCACUGAAGACUACCAGGAUGUCAAGAGAACUGCUUAAAGAUGGCUUCACCAAUCACAGCAAAGAUCAUUGUGCUCUGCAGUACUACAGAUGAGGAAGAUGCCAACAUAGAUGACCCCAUCAUUCUGUCUGAAAGGACUUUUUAAAGUUGUUUAUU